rnacentral:rRNA from 1 species
UACGUAGGGACCAAGCGUUGUUCGGAUUUACUGGGCGUAAAGGGCGCGUAGGCGGCAACUCAAGUCAGCUGUGAAAUCUCCGGGCUUAACUCGGAACGGUCAGCUGAUACUGUUUUGCUAGAGUGCAGAAGGGGCAAUCGGAAUUCUUGGUGUAGCGGUGAAAUGCGUAGAUAUCAAGAGGAACACCUGAGGUGAAGACGGGUUGCUGGGCUGACACUGACGCUGAUGCGCGAAAGCCAGGGGAGCAAACGGG